rnacentral:lncRNA from 12 species
ACACUAGGGGCCAAAUACACUCUGGGUUAAAAACACUGGCAUCAGUUCUUGCAACAAAAACCUGGCAGGGAUUCAGGAUGUGACAGCUGAAGGAGGCUGCAGCCUCUCUUGUACCAACAAACCAGUUGGUGCCCAGUGCGGGUGAGUGAGGAAGGGAGAGGAUGAAGAGAAAUCUGGAGCCUGCUGUGGAGGUUUGCUCCCUUCUGGAGCUGCUGGCUGACACCCUGGAUCCUGGCUGUGGUUUCCCAAGAGACUGCAAGGUGCAGAGCAGGGAGGCAGCCUAAAGAAAUAUUAGCAUUUAUUCUCAUCUGUUGCUGAGCUUACGACCCACACAAAUAACAGGGAAUAGCGAGCGAGCAGCCGGCUGCAGAAUGGGAACAAGGAAAAUGACUCAGCAAGCUUGGCACCAAUCUGGAGAAAAUGCAGGUACAUUAUAACCUUGCUUGAGCAUCAAUCUCAUCCGUGACGUGACGUUGAAACAGCAGCCAGCGUAGAUAUUUGGAUUUGACAGAAACAUUCCUUCUGAUAAAUGAUUUAGCUCUGCUCUUGCAAGUAGUUAUAUCCAGGAGGAGAACAGGUGAGAAGCUGCCUUCAUA